AUGGGUUUCAUGAAUCACCAUAUCCAGAGAUUCGUCGACACAGCUUGUUGCCAGAUAAUCUCGAAGAAGGAUUGGCCCGUGCUGCCGGCUGGCGUCAAGUUCGAUCCCAUGGAUCAGGAGCUGAUCGAGCACCUUGAGGCCAAAGUGAGUGCUGACAGCGCGAGAUUUCAGUCUCUCAUCGAUUUGUUCAAACCAACCAUCGACAGGGAGCACGGCAUAUGUUACACCCAACCUGAGAAACUUCCAGAUGUUAUGAAAAUGCCAACUAGGUACACUACAACCUGUAUUCCACAAUACUGCAGGUAUCACACUGAGUGGCCUAAGGAAGCAUUUCUUCCACGCAAUUCCAGGGCGUUCAAAAGGGGCGCGUGGACGCGUCGCAAGAUACAAUCGGAGUGCGGCAUGCAUGCGAUGUGGCAUAAGACCGGCAAUACCUUGCCGGUGAUGGUCAACGGCCGGCAGACGGGCAACAAACAAGGUUCUGGUGCUGCACACCAACAAGAACUUCGACCAGCAGAGGACCAACUGGGUGACGCACCAUUACCACCUCAGGGACCUGGAGCAAGAGAAGGAGCGGGAGCUGGUCCUCUGCAAGAUUUUCUACCAGACGAACACUAG
rnacentral:rRNA from 1 species